GAAAAUCGAUUUUCAAUAAGAAGUAUCGCUACGAGUUUGGAAUUCAGAUCACUGAUCCUGAGAAAUAUUUUUAGUCUAAUUUGCCAAUGUAUCAUCGAUUUAUUAUAAAAUAUGACCAGGUAUUCCUGGAUAGGGUCGGCUGAGCUCAAACUGGAUCUUACACACCUAGUUCUAGCCCGAUCCAGAUCGGCACGGCCCGGAUUUCUCUCUACUGUAGAAAUUAGAAAUUCUUUGGAAAUCACAAAGAGAGAAAGAGAGAGAUAACAACAUCUGAUCAAGUUUAUCCAAACUUUCGUUGAAGAAGACCAAAUCACGGAUUUGAAAGGUUAUUGAAUUUGGAAAUGAUGAAGAGCCAGAUGAUGUAGAGAUUAAGGUGCCCGAAUUUAAUGCUAUAGAUGCGAAACUAUGGAGAAUAUUAUUGCUUGUGGUCAGUUGGAGAAACUGAAAGUUGAGCAAUGUAAAGUCUAUUUGAGGAAGAAUGGACUGCGAUUAACAUGGAAGACAUACGUUCUUAUCGAUCGAUAUUAAGGAACAUCUUGGGAUCAUAAAUGGUUGUGGAGAAAAGGAAGUAUCUGCUAUCUAGAUAUGUGUACAACCGCAGCGGUUAGGUUGUUAUGAUUGUGAUGCUUGGACGGGAGAUGUUUUAAUGUUCGAGCAAAAUGUGAGCUAGCAAAUUUUUUAUCCUUGGUGCAAUUACAUAUGAAAUCUACAUCCAUCGUCUCUCGCAGGUAUAACAUAGCAUCGAGGAGGUCCACUGGCCCUCCCCGUGGGACUAGAACUGUUGCGGGUCGCAAGCAGAAACAUACAU